UACGUAGGGUGCAAGCGUUAAUCGGAAUUACUGGGCGUAAAGCGUGCGCAGGCGGCUUUGCAAGACAGAUGUGAAAUCCCCGGCUUAACCUGGGAACUGCAUUUGUGACUGCAUGGCUGGAGUGCGGCAGAGGGGGGAUGGAAUUCCGCGUGUAGCAGUGAAAUGCGUAGAUAUGCGGAGGAACACCGAUGGCGAAGGCAAUCCCCUGGGCCUGCACUGACGCUCAUGCACGAAAGCG
rnacentral:rRNA from 1 species